rnacentral:rRNA from 1 species
GGGGUGGAUUAGUGGCGUGAGUAACACGUGAGUAACCUGCCCCUGACUCUGGGAUAAGCGUUGGAAACGACGUCUAAUACUGGAUUCCGGCCGCAUGGUCUGGUGGUGGAAAGAUUUUUUGGAUGGACUCGCGGCCUAUCAGCUUGUUGGUGAGGUAAUGACUCACCAAGGCGACGACGGGUAGCCGGCCUGAGAGGGUGACCGGCCACACUGGGACUGAGACACGGCCCAGACUCCUACGGGAGGCAGCAGUGGGGAAUAUUGGGGCGAAAGCCUGAUGCCCGCGUGAGGGAUGACGGCCUUCGGGUUGUAAACCUCUUUUAGUAGGGAAGAAGCGAAAGUGACGGUACCUGCAGAAAAAGCACCGGCUAACUACGUGCCAGCAGCCGCGGUAAUACGUAGGGUGCAAGCGUUGUCCGGAAUUAUUGGGCGUAAAGAGCUCGGGUUUGUCGCGUCUGCUGUGAAAUCCCGAGGCUCAACCUCGGGCUUGCAGUGGAGACUAGAGUGCGGUAGGGGUUCCUGGUGUAGCGGAUAUCAGGAGGAACACCGAUGGCGAAGGCAGAUCUCUGGGCCGUAACUGACGCUGAGGAGCGGGGAGCGAACAGGAUUAGAUACCCUGGUAGUCCAUGCCGUAAACGUUGGGCAAUAGAUGUAGGGACCUUUCCACGGUCGUAGCUAACGCAUUAAGCGCCCCAGAACCUC